rnacentral:rRNA from 1 species
UACGUAGGGGGGCGAGCGUUGUCCGGAUUUAUUGGGCGUAAAGAGCUCGUAGGCGGCUUGGCAAGUCGGGUGUGAAACCUCCAGGCUCAACCUCGAGAUGUCGGCGGAAACCAUCUGGCUAGAGUCCGGAAGAGGAGAGUGGAAUUCCCGGUGUAGCGGUGAAAUGCGCAGAUAUCAGGAGGAACACCGGUGGUGUAGACGGCUUUCUGGACCAUAACUGACGCUGGAGAACACGAAAGCGUGGGUAGCAAACAGG